AUGGAACAGAUGGGGAUGGACAAGCACAUGCUUCUGGUUCAAGAGGCUCCUGCUUCACCUCAUGAUGCCUCGCCUGAGUUGGUCCUGUCUACUCCAACUCCAACCCCUGUGCGCCUGGAGGUGCUGCUUGAAGAAACCAACAGCGACAGCAUCACUCAUGUGUCAAACAGUUUUGAUGCUGAUGCCCAGACUGAAGAAGAGGCAGAUGAAGAGACAAGGACUGAAGAAGCUCCAGAGGAAGAGCCAAUAUCUGAAGAAGAUGCAGAAUCAGAAGCACCGGUCACUCCAAUAUUCAUCCCGCGCAUGCCCGCGCUGUUGCCGUCCCCCCCUACUCAGCGCUCGACACCUCCAAGACCCCCAACUGCUCGUAGGAAGACGCUAGCCGGGGUCUCUGGCUUCCACCUGCCGCGCCAGAGCCCCCGGCUCCGGGCCAAAAAGCGGAGCGUGCCCAUUGCCAGGCUCGCAGAGCAGCUGCUGUGCCGCCGUAUGGGGAUCGUUGCUGAGGGUGAACAAGCCACUGAGGCGGCUAUCACCAAGUUUGCUGAUAUGUUCCAGGACCGUCUCCCGGACAUUGCUGUUGCGGCUUUGCGCGCUUUAUUCCACAUGGACUGCGAUCUCUCCUCGGCGGUUGAAGACGCCCUCAUGCAGCAUGGAGGAGAAGGAGGGCCAGACCAAAACGAGGCCACCGCGGCGGGGCUGCCAUGUGUUGCUGCUUCUAUUUCUGGCCCUGGCGAGACCAUUGUUGCCUAUGAUGUUGGCAGACUCAUACCAGCUGAUGGCACAAAAGGCGGAAUAUUACUGCUAUGGGAUGAUUCUGCGGUUACCAUCUCCAAUAUUCAGAUUGGAGCUUACUACCUCUCAGCAACUGUUGAUGUCAACAACUCUCCUGAUGACAAGUCUUUUAAACUGACCACUGUUUAUGGACCAACCAGAUACAUCCAUAAAGAGGCUUUCUUCCUGGAGCUAACGUCCCAAAAGCCUAUCGACGGAACGAAGUGGCUGGUUAAUGGUGAUUUUAACCAAAUCUACCGAGCUAGAGACAAAAACCGUGCUAAUGUUGAUCGGGGUCGUCUUGUCCGAUUCCGCAACACCCUGAACACUUGCAAUCUCAAGGAGAUACACCUUCAAAACCGGAAGUUCACCUGGAGCAACGAGCGCGCUGACCCAACGCUCUGCAAAUUGGACGGCUUCUUCUGUAACGACGAGUGGGAUAUUGAUUUUGGCUCGCACAUUCUUCAUGCUCUCUCCUCCUCGCUGUCCGACCACUGUCCGUUAUUGCUUGCUAAUGAUGAUGGUCCGCGGCGGCCAAAAUCAUUUCGUUUCGAAAACCACUGGACCAAGAUGCCUGGUUUCCAGAAGGUGGUUGUUGAUGCUUGGAAUGAACAAUCUGUGCACUUGGAGCCCUACCAAAGGCUUUUUCACAAGCUCAAGACCACCGGUCGGAGACUUCGCACGUGGAGCAAGUCCCUCUUUGCAAAGUCAAAGAUUCAAAUGCACAUGGCCCUGGAGGCCACCGAACAAGGCAAGCUCCAACCUAUUGGAGGAGAUGUGAUGACUUUUCGAGCCUCCCUCUAUGCGGACGACGCUGCGGUCUUCCUUGCGCCAAUCAAGGAUGAUGUAAAUUUCUUUGUGGAAACACUGGCGAGCUUUGGGGAGGUCACUGGAUUGAUGACAAACUGCACUAAAAGCUUAGUCGCCCCCAUUCGCUGUGUGAGCCUUGACCUUGAUGAUAUCCUCCAUUCCUUCCCUGCGAACCGCUCCACCUUCCCUAUGAAAUAUUUGGGACUGCCGUUAUCGGUUAAGAGACUAAAGAGAAUCCACUUCCAGCCGCUCGAAGACAAGAUUGCUGCCCAACUCACUCCUUCGAUUGGCAUGCUCAUGGCCUCUUCGGGCAGGGUGGUUCUCGUCAAAUCUGUCCUCACAGCCAUCGCCAUAUACUACAUGACUGCACUUGAUCUGCCAGUGGAGGUUUUGAAGAAGAUUGACUCCCUUCGGCGUGCUUUCCUUUGGGCUGGCUGUGACAAGGUCACCGGUGGCAAAUGCAAGAUCAAUUGGGAACAAGUGUGUAAAUCCAAAGCUCAUGGCGGACUAGGCAUCCUAAAUCUACAGAAAUUUGCAUCUGCUCUCCGUUUACGUUGGCUCUGGGCGGAAUGGAUGGACCCGGCGAAGCCUUGGGUGCGGUUGGGGAACCCUUGCGAUAAGAGAGAUAAAGACAUCUUUGCGUCUGCCACCAAGGUCUUAAUUGGAGAUGGACUUCGUGCCUCCUUUUGGGAGUCUGCUUGGCUUGAUGGCAUCAGGCCCAAAGACAUCGCCCCAAUGAUUUUUGAAAUUUCAAAACGAAGGGGCUGCUCGGUGAACAAGGCUUUGCAAAACAACUUCUGGGUCUCCCAAAUCAACACUCGUGGCAUCUUCUCCGCUAACCAGCUCACUCAGUUCGUCAACCUUUGGGAAAAAAUUUCGGUUGUUCAACUCAACCCAGAUGGGGUCGACACUAUCUCAUGGAAGUUCACUAAUGAUGGUCUGUACACUGCGGCGUCGGCCUACAAAGCUCAGUUCUCUGGUCUGGUUGACACUAACAUGUUACAGUGGGUUUGGAAGAAUUGGGCUCCCCCCAAAUGCAAAUUUUUUGCCUGGUUGGUUAUCAACAAUAGGAUUUGGACGGCCGAUAGGCUCAAACGACGUGGAUGGCCUAAUUGUGAUCGUUGUCCUCUUUGUAAGCAGGUGCAAGAAUCCGCGGCGCACAUCCUCUUCCGGUGCCGCUACACUGUUCGAGUUUGGGGUAUAGUCAAAUCUUGGCUUGGCCUGGGGGAUGUGCAUCCUUCGGCUUGGGUGGUGAUGGAUUCGGUGAAGUCUUGGUGGAACCUGAUUGCAUCCAACACAUCGCAGUCGCGCCGGCCGAUGCUCUCUCUUAUGAUGCUAGUCUCAUGGGAAAUCUGA
rnacentral:rRNA from 1 species